rnacentral:rRNA from 1 species
AUGCGUCAAAGCUCAAAGGGCUGCCACUUGUUUCCCAGCAUGCAAAGGCGGACAUGGUGUUACUUGCAACCUGGGGCAUGGCAGUUGCAACCGCAAUUCCAAGAUGCUACUACCACAAUCGGGAGUGUUGCAGACCUGCUAGUGGAGCAGCUACAACCGACCGCACGCUGGAGUGGAGCUGACAAGCGUUUUUGUUGCAACCAUGAAGAGGCACGGUUGGCAAGAGCGUCAACCGGCAAUGGCGAGAGCUGCACCUACGACAACGCACUAGCUGCAAGGGCGACAACGUGUGACCCGUCGGUGUAG